rnacentral:lncRNA from 1 species
GGAGGGUGGAGGAGGGAAUUUUUUUUUUGUUUUGCUGAGUGUGUCAAAAAACACUCGGGAAACCUUCAUGUUUGCCGAGUGUCCCAUCACAACACUCGGCAAACAUCUGCUGUUAAAAUCUAGACAUUCAGAAACAGUGUCCAAAGAAUAUUCAAUAACUGAAGGUAUACUCCACCAAAAAAUGUGAAACUUUAACAGCAGUUAGAUCUCACAAACCUCUACAACUUUUGUAUGAUCCAUUUUUGAGGGAAAAAUCAUUUAGGUUGCAAAAACUACAAGGACAGCAGCACUGCCUGAGCUACAGGACAGCACACCUUAGAUCGACCUUCAAACCAUGUUUUCCCCCACAGAUCCACUAAUCCCCGUGACCAAGAACCAUCUAAAAACAUCAAUAGAAGAGCUAAAGUGGAUUCACCUCACCUUGGUCGUCCCCCAAACCUAGGGCAACAAGAUUGAGAUGGGGAAAAGCAAAUCUACUCCGAAGAUGCACCACAUCUUGGUCCUCUCCUCCUCCUCAAUCCAUUUUUCUCCUUUUCCCUUGGUUAUUGCUGCUAUGGAGGAGGUUCUAGAGAGGGGGAGGAUGCUGUGGAGAUGGAGAGAGACGUUCUUGGGGGAGGAGUUCAAACAGGAGGGAGAGGAGGUGGCGCUGGGGAAGGGGCUCGGUCCUUCUAGGUCUUGAGGAAAAGGAUUUCGACUUGGGCUAAGGGAGUGGGCUGGUUUGCUAGGUCUUGGCCCAAAUUGGUUUAGGACCUCUAAAACCUUUUUUAUUCUAAAAAAAUGGAAUAGUGGCCGAGGGUGAGAGGGCGUGAGGGAGGGAGAGAGAAGGAAUGGAAGGCUGGCAGUGGGAGGGAGGAGGGGCGCAACCGAGACACGCGAUUUAACUGGGUUGAGGUGCCUUUUUUGGGUCCGUGAUACGUUUCACUGAUAGCUGGUGUUAAGAUGCGGCGGUGAAUGGUGAUAGAAUCACCAUCGGUUUUAGCUACUAACCGGUGGUGAAAAGGAUCAUCACCGCCGGUUU